AUGAUCUCGCAGGCUCAGCUCACCUGGCUGUUAGUGCUCUGGAUUCAGGGCUCCAGUGGGCAGAUUGUGAUGACUCAGACUCCAGAAUCCCUGGCAGUGUCUCCUGGAGACAGAGUCACCAUCAACUGCAAAGCCAGUUCCAGCGUCACGGGUGGUAGCACUCAUUACAUAGCCUGGUACCAACAGAAAUCAGGACAAGCUCCAAAGCUCCUUAUCUACUAUGCUUCCACGCGUGCCACUGGGAUCCCAGACCGGUUCACAGGCAGUGGGUCUGGAACCGAUUUCACUCUCACAAUCAGCAACGUUCAAGCUGAAGAUUUUGGAGAUUAUUACUGUCAGCAAGGCUAUAGCUCACCUCUCACAGUGAUACAGACCACCUCCAUCAAGCUAAAACUGAGAAGUGUGGGUCCACCAAACAAGGGACAUAGACAUUAUGACAUUGACAAGCUAAAGUCCCCUGAAAUACAGAAAGCCUUCAUUCUGCAGCUAAAGAACAGGCAAAAUUUAAAAUGA